UGGGGAAUUUUCCGCAAUGGGCGAAAGCCUGACGGAGCAAUACCGCGUGAGGGACGAAGGUUUUUGGAUUGUAAACCUCUUUUCUCUGGGAAGAACACAAUGACGGUACCAGAGGAAUCAGCAUCGGCUAACUCCGUGCCAGCAGCCGCGGUAAUACGGAGGAUGCAAGCGUUAUCCGGAAUUAUUGGGCGUAAAGCGUCCGCAGGUGGUUUUAUAAGUCAGUUGUCAAAGCGCAAGGCUCAACUUUGUAAAGGCAAUUGAAACUGUGAGACUAGAGUGUGGUAGGGGUAGCGGGAAUUCCCAGUGUAGCGGUGAAAUGCGUAGAUAUUGGGAAGAACACCAGCGGCGAAAGCGCGCUACUGGGCCAUAACUGACACUGAGGGACGAAAGCUAGGGGAGC
rnacentral:rRNA from 1 species